CAUUCAGUGGCGUCAUCACAGCUCACCACAGCCUGCAACUCCUGGGCUCAAGAUAUCCUCCUGCCCCAGCCUCCUGACUGGGAGUUCGGACUCCAGGAAUGGAGUAUGCUGGAAGCACAACCUUCUGUGAUAGCCACAGGCAGUGCACUCACUCAGAACAGCUCCUCAGAUGUGCCGGUGCUCAGCCCACGCUCCCAAGACAGUGCUCUGGCUGCCUUCUUGCCCUCACCCUGCCAACGCUAACUGCACUGCAAUAAGCUCUUACAACCUC